AGGUGCUGUAUUGGUGUAAUGCUAUCAUGCGGCACUCACCAUACAGUUCUUCAGCGAGGAGGAUUGGUCAGGGGCCUAACCACAAACCCGAAAUGAACAAUAGAAUACUCAAAGAGAAGAGAUACACAGAAGGAAGAUGGCCACAUGAAGACACAAGGAGGAUGCCAUGUGAUGAUGGAGAUAGAAAUUGGAGUGAUGGAUCUACAAGCCAAGGACCCGAAGGAUUGCCAGCUGUCAUCAGAAACUAGAAGACAGCCCUGGAAUAGAUUCUCUCUCAGAACUCUCCAAAGGAACCAACCUUGCUGACACCUCAGUUUCAGACUUACAGUCUCCAGAGGUGUGAAAGAUUAAAUUUCUGUGGUCUCACACCACCUGGUCUGUGAUACUUUGUUAGAGGAGCCAUAGCAAACUAAUAUAGGAUCUAAUCUUGCAACAAUGACUCCUGGCUGCCAGCAGUCCCAGGUGUUCAGUCCGCACCUUUUUUUCAGAUCGUUUUUUUUCUUUUUUUAUCGUAAUCUUUUUCCAAGGGAUCCAGUUUCUUUUCUUCUAGUCUGUCCCCAUCCAGGCACUCUUAACUAUGAAUAAGAUUCAAGCUCUACCCUAUAAAAACACACAUGUCAUUGAAAAUCAAGGAUUAUUUGAGCAAUAGUGUCCAUAUUCUUAAAUAUUCCAUGACAAAAGCUACAAUGCCAGGAACACACACAUUCCUUCUGUGAAGAUACUAAAGAAUAAAUUAUUCAAUAAUACUCAUUAAAGCCUGGUAAGGUAGAAUUUAUUCAGGACCAUUGUGAUAGGUAUAAGGACCACUUCAAUGAUAUUUUGCAGUGAGAAAGAGAGAUUGAGCUCAACUGCAAAUAAAACAUGGCAAGUGUGAAUUCAUAGCCCACAAAGGUCAGGGUAGGGGUCAGUGAAUAAAAAAUUAAAGGUAAGAAGGAAUUCUGACUAAACUGACUUAUCAGGAUUUUUUCUGAAGACAGGCUAGGGUAACUAAAUAUCAUCUGGGAGAUAGUGGAAGUUGAGGAAGCUGAUCACAUAUCGAGGGUGAUCACACAUCAAAGGAAGGGGGUUAUUCUUGAUAAACUGACUUAGCAGGAUUCUUGCUAAAGCUGGAUUUUAUAAGAAAGUGCACAGAUGGGCCUAGGAAAACAUUCAGGAGACUGACUAAAGUUUGGUCAAGCAGAGAAUCUUAGCCAAAGACACACUUAACCUCACAGAGCUGUUUAACAGAGACACAUCUCUGAUAACAGCCAUAAGACUUACAUGCAUUUUUUUUUUUUUAAACAGGGUCUUCCUCUGGGAGAUCACAGCUCAUUGAAGCCCUGAUUGCACUGGCUCAAGUGAUCCUUCCACCUCGGUUAUAAUAAUAACCAAUCCUCUCAGAAAUGUGAGAAUGGUUCCUGCUUUAGCCUCCCAAGUAGCUGGGACUACAGGUGUGUGCCACCAUGCCUGGCUAAUUUUUUGAUUUUUUUGUAGAGAUGAGGUCUCACUGUGUUGUCCAGGCUGAUCUAGAAUUCCUGGGCUUCAAGCAAUCCUCCUGCCUUGGUCUCCCAAAGUACUGGGAUUAGAGGCAUGAGCCACCACAACUGGCCAGACUUACAUAUAUUUUCAAAAUAUUCAUGCAUAUAAUGUGCAAAAUAUUUUUUAUUUUUGUAUAUUUUCCCUAUAUAUGUUAAAAUAUUUUCUUAUCUUUAUGUUGUCUAUCAUGCCUAGGAAAAAAAAAAUCUCAGAAAUGUGAGAAUUGUUCCUGGUUUAAUCUCUGAGGUUUUAACUAUUUUUUUCUUUACUUCUAAAUUUAGUUUUGAAUCAGCAUUCAGUUUGCUUAAGUACCCCAAACAUUGGGACAGAUAACCUUGUACUUUUUCUCCCAAAGUGAUGUCUAAACUUGAGAGAAUUUUUAAAAUUUAUGAGUGAUUUCUCAAAGAAUUUAUCUCAUUUGAAAUUACGGAGAUCAUGCUGAUCCUAUAAACCAUUAGAUCCCAUGGAGAAAUGUUAGCUAUAGGGCUGCAGUGAUCAGAUUGCUCUAGAUGCAACAAAUCUUUUCUUUACUAGAUCAGUAACCUAACAGGUUUUGUUUCUUUCCUGGCUCUGUUUUAGCCCUGUCUCUUUUUCUACCUCAUAUCAUCCAUUCUCCAGAAGCUAAUAUUACUCAUCAUUUUCAUCACAAGUUCAUGCACUCAGGCAUGGAAACCCAAUAAUAUAUUCUGGUACCUACAUAUAACUUACAUAAUAAAAUGC
rnacentral:lncRNA from 10 species